rnacentral:rRNA from 1 species
UGCAUCGAUGAAGAACGCAGCGAAAUGCAAUACUUGGUGUGAAUUGCAGAAUCUUGUGAACCAUCAAGUCUUUGAACACAAGUUGUGCCCGAAGCCAUCAAGCCGAAGGCACGUCUGCCUGGGUGUCAC